GUCGGACCUGGGAAAUUGUCUUGCUCCCAACCCCGAGGCGCAUUCCGGCGUCUCCGCAGUGCAUCCUGGGAGUGGUAGUUCCCGCGGCUCCGAGGGAGAAUGGCGGCAGGCGGGAGCAGGACGCAGAGAGAACUACAUGGAGGAGGCGGGGUGUAGGGCGAGGAAGCUACGCGACUAGCAGUGGCGAAGGCUGCUGUAUCGGCAGCAUGAAGCGGACCCCGACAGCCGAGGAACGAGAGCGCGAAGCUAAGAAACUGAGGCUUCUUGAAGAGCUUGAAGACACUUGGCUUCCUUAUCUGACCCCCAAAGAUGAUGAAUUCUAUCAGCAGUGGCAGCUGAAAUAUCCUAAACUAGUUCUCCGAGAAGCCGCCAGCGUCCCUGAGGAGCUCCAUAAAGAGGUUCAAGAAGCCUUUCUCACGCUGCACAAGCACGGCUGCUUAUUUCGGGACCUGGUGAGGAUCCAAGGCAAAGAUUUGCUCACUCCAGUCUCUCGCAUCCUCAUUGGUAACCCCGGCUGCACCUACAAGUACCUGAACACCAGGCUCUUUACGGUACCCUGGCCAGUGAAAGGCUCUGAUGCAAAGUACCACGAGGCCGAAGUAGCUGCCGCCUGUCAAACCUUCCUCAAGCUCAACGACUACCUGCAGGUAGAGACCAUCCAGGCUUUGGAAGAACUCGCUGCUAAGGAGAAAGCCAACAUCGAUGCCGUGCCAGUGUGUAUAGGUCCGGAUUUCCCCAGGGUUGGCAUGGGGUCAUCCUUUGAUGGACAAGAUGAGAUAGACAUGAAGAACCGCGCAGCCUACAACGUAACUCUGUUGAAUUUCAUGGAUCCUCCGAAAAUGCCAUACCUGAAAGAGGAACCGUAUUUUGGCAUGGGGAAAAUGGCCGUGAGCUGGCAUCACGAUGAAAAUCUGGUGGACAGGUCAGCGGUGGCAGUGUACAGUUAUAGCUGUGAAGACCCUGAAGAGGAAAGUGAGGAUGACCCUCAACUCGAAGGCAGAGAUCCUGAUAUUUGGCACGUUGGUUUUAAGAUCUCAUGGGACAUAGAGACACCUGGUUUGGCGAUACCCCUUCACCAAGGAGACUGCUACUUUAUGCUUGAUGAUCUCAAUGCCACCCACCAACACUGUGUUUUGGCUGGUUUACCACCUCGGUUUAGUUCCACCCACCGAGUGGCAGAGUGCUCAACGGGGACCUUGGAUUACAUCUUACAGCGCUGCCAGUUGGCCCUGCAGAAUAUCCGUGAUGAGGCGGACAAUGGUGAGGUCUCUUUGAAAUCCUUGGAGCCAGUGGUUUUGAAACACGGAGAAGAAAUCCACAACGAGGUCGAGUUUGAGUGGCUGAGACAGUUUUGGUUUCAAGGCAAUCGGUACAAAAGGUGCACCGAUUGGUGGUGUCAACCUAUGACUCAGCUGGAAGAGCUGUGGAAGAAGAUGGAAGGCCUGACAAAUGCUGUGCUUCGGGAAGUUAGAAGAGAGGGGACCCCUGUAGAACAAAGGAAUGAGACCUUGACGGCCAUCCUUGCCACACUCACCGCUCGCCAGAACCUGAGGAGGGAAUGGCAUGCCAGGUGCCAGUCCCGAAUUGCCCGAACUCUACCCGCGGAUCAGAAGCCAGAGUGCCGGCCGUAUUGGGAAAAGGAUGAUCCUUCGAUGCCGCUGCCGUUUGACCUCACAGAUAUCAUUUCCGAACUCAGGGGUCUGCUUCUGGAAGCCAGACCCUAGAGAAAGAGCACAAGUCUUAGGUGGAGGAGCAAAGGCUGUUUUUGACUUCUCUCCUCCAACCUUGUCAUGGGCUUAGGCAAGGGGAUUAUGGGUAGACUGUGCCUUGGGAUUGUAGACCCUGGGUCCCAGUUGGAAACAGCUAGGGAAUGGAGCCCAUGAAUAUUAAAAUGUUUAAAAGUGACACAGUGUUAUAGUGAUUCGGUAUUAAACAAGAACCUCCAACCCCCAAAGCUGUUCCCCACUUGGAUUUUUAAUGUGAGCCAUUCCACUCCCAAGGCCUGGGAAGCGACCAAGGUGAGCCUGGCCUGUGGCAAAACCUAACCUACUUUCCUCCUUCCCAAACCUUUGCAGAGACUCUGCAGGGGAUGACUCUCAGGUCAUCUAGGGGAAGACCGAAUUUAGAGACAUUUAGCCCAUUUUCUCACCACACCCUUUAGAGGCUAUGCUGUUCAGUAUGGUGGCCACUAGGUAGAUGGGGCUUCUUAAAUUUAAAUUGCAUUUUCAUUGUAAUUAAAAAUUCAGUUCCUCAGUUGCACGAGCCACAUUUCAAGUGCUUAGUAGCCAUGUGUGGCUAGUGACUGCUGUAUUGGACACAGAACAUUUUCAUCAUUGUAGAAAGCCCUCCCAGACAGCAGCACUUCUAUCAAAAGUUUGAGAGCGGGAGAUUCUGUUUUCCCAUUCUCUGUAGCUGCUUUCCCCACAGGCGAAAUAAAUUAAAAGAGGAAUGCCUCAUUGAAGAGUAGCCUCUUUCCCUUCUCUAGGACAGCCUGGGUUAUGAGCCCUGUACUCUGCACAUAAGAAUGGAGCAGUGUUGAAGAUUAAAAUAAAGUUGACAUCCUGGCUUUAGGAAGUUUCCCUGAUCUAAUGAAAGAGACAAAGUCCUAUUUACAUUGCUUCCUGAUUUUAGCCAGCAUACUAUAUGUUGUUUUAUAAUUCCCCCAUUCGCACAUAACGAUGGGUAGAAUUGAGGCUUGAAGAACCCUAGUGCCCAUCCUGAUGAUGUUGGGGCACCAGAGAGACGAUGAAGAGGUUAAAACUUGGGCUUUGGUUUUCGAGGGCCUGGAUCUAAAUGCCCAGUAGCUUGUGACUUUUGGUGUCUUACUGUGCCUUGGUUUUCUCAUCUGUAUAAUGGGGAUACUAUAGGCACCAACUCAUAAGGCGAAGAUGAAAUGAAAUAACUUAGCUGCAGACUUAGAACAAUUUCUGACACAUAUUUAAACACCCAGUAAAUAUUAGUAUUAUUAUAUGUCAGUAAGUGACCUGCUGUAGGCAUUUUCCCCUCCCUUCUUCAAUCUUGGUGCCAGUUUUGUCUUGUGGUGCCCUGAACCCACCUCUCCCUUUUGGGCCUGGCUCCCGACCUUUGGCGACCCUGGAAAUCAUGAGAAUAGUUAGCCCCUCUCCCCAGCCUGUCACCUUCUUUGUAGUUGUUUGCAGUAGUUGGAAAGCUGAGGAGCUUUUUUGCCCCUUGAGAGGUGCGCUGAGAACCAGACUCUCUCCCGCCAGCAGAAUCUCGCUGGUUCAAGGUAUGGGCUCAUUCACAUGGAGUCAACCCCAGGGAGUUCACGUCACACAAAGCAGGCGGGGUUUCCUCAUCUUGAGACUCUUGGUAGACAUUGGAUGAAUUCCCUGAUGUCUUUAAGCCUCAGUCUGCCCGUCAGUAAACGAUGAAGCGCUGCCUCUCAGGGUUGUGGGAGAGAUUAAAUGAAAUCACAUAGGUAAGGAGGGCAGGGCACGCAGAAGUCGCCGGCUGGGCAGCCUCGGGACCAUCUAGCCUAGUGUUUUAUUUCACCACCACCCCCCCCGCCAGUGUCUGUUCCUUGUCAUAGUUCACUAGGUGCCAAUAUUUAAAAAUUGGGAGAUUUCAUGUAAAAUAAAAAUGUGUGCAUCCUCUUCAGAAUUCAGAACAUCUGGCAGCCCUAGGCCUCCAUCCUGGCAUGGCAAAGAGCUAGGUAGCGUCCUCUCAGGCAGGGCGUGAACCCUCUGUGGCCCCCGUUGCUCCCAAUUACCAUUUAUUGUGAACCUGACUGGCGUUACGCCUUCGUGUCAGCACCCUCCAAACCUGCUUGCUUGCAUCCCUAGAGUAGAAAUGAAUAAUAAUGUUGAGUGCUUACCCCAAUAUAUGUGUAUUACUAUCGAGCUAUAUUUGUGGACUGCUUGUACUAAUAGGUCAUGUACAUCAUAAAACAUGCAUAAACAAUAAAAAUACUGAAAGGAUGAGAUAAGAAACCAAGAGAGGCCCUGCUAUUUUCUCCUUGCACACCAGCAGGUGGGCCUGCUUCCUUGGCCUGGGGGGCGCCCAGGUGGAGAGAGUCCUUGGAGUCCUGCAGGUGGGGGAAGAGCCAGGGGUUGGAGAAGCCACUUCCAGGAGUGAAUCUGAAAGAUGAUCGCUCUGGCUGCUGUCUGGAUUCCAAAGGGUCUCAGUCCAAAGGCACUGCUUUCUAACUGGGAGUUUCCCGCAUCCUCGGGCCAGAUCUUGAGAUGGGGAAGAUGUCCCGCCAGACCCUCUGAGUGCAUGAGGUGGUACCCCAUCCUCCUUUUGCUUCCCCGCAGCUCUGCACCCACCCCACCUGCUUUCACGGGCAGCCUCAGCCCAGGGGAGUUCACUAGACAGAAGAGAGGGCGGGGUCAUGGCAUCGCUCGGGACACAAUUUUAGUAAUAAGCUUCCAAAUCCGUCACUAAACGAAUGGAGGGAUGCUAGAAAUGAUAUUCCAUCGACCCGACUGAAUGGACAGUCCACAUUCAGUAGGUUUUUUGUGUGUGUUUCGAGGGAAGGUAUUUUUGAAUGCAACUUUUUUUUUUUCCCUGCUCUAGUUAAGGCUGAUUUUACCACUGGGCAAAUUGCAUACAUUUGGAUCUCUGCCACGCUA